UACGUAGGGACCAAGCGUUGUUCGGAUUUACUGGGCGUAAAGGGCGCGUAGGCGGCAAUUCAAGUCAGUUGUGAAAUCUCCGAGCUUAACUCGGAACGGUCAACUGAUACUGUUUUGCUAGAGUACAGAAGGGGCAAUCGGAAUUCUUGGUGUAGCGGUGAAAUGCGUAGAUAUCAAGAGGAACACCUGAGGUGAAGACGGGUUGCUGGGCUGAUACUGACGCUGAGGCGCGAAAGCUAGGGUAGCAACGGG
rnacentral:rRNA from 1 species